rnacentral:rRNA from 1 species
UGCAAGUCGAACGGUGAAGCCCAGCUUGCUGGGUGGAUCAGUGGCGAACGGGUGAGUAACACGUGAGCAACCUGCCCUCCACUUCGGGAUAAGCCUUGGAAACGGGGUCUAAUACCGGAUACGAGCAUCCGACGCAUGUCGGGUGUUGGAAAGUUUUUCGGUGGGGGAUGGGCUCGCGGCCUAUCAGCUUGUUGGUGGGGUAAUGGCCUACCAAGGCGUCGACGGGUAGCCGGCCUGAGAGGGCGACCGGCCACACUGGGACUGAGACACGGCCCAGACUCCUACGGGAGGCAGCAGUGGGGAAUAUUGCACAAUGGGCGAAAGCCUGAUGCAGCGACGCCGCGUGAGGGAUGACGGCCUUCGGGUUGUAAACCUCUUUCAGCAGGGAAGAAGGCCUUCGGGUGGACGGUACCUGCAGAAGAAGCGCCGGCUAACUACGUGCCAGCAGCCGCGGUAAUACGUAGGGCGCAAGCGUUGUCCGGAAUUAUUGGGCGUAAAGAGCUCGUAGGCGGUUUGUCGCGUCUGGUGUGAAAACCUCAGGCUCAACCUGGGGCGUGCAUCGGGUACGGGCAGACUAGAGUGCGGUAGGGGAGACUGGAAUUCCUGGUGUAGCGGUGGAAUGCGCAGAUAUCAGGAGGAACACCGAUGGCGAAGGCAGGUCUCUGGGCCGCAACUGACGCUGAGGAGCGAAAGCAUGGGG